GUAGAGGUGGAAGGCCGCGAAAUUCUUUUUGGAAGGAAUUGUCGUAUGUUUUGGUGAAACUCGAUGGGAAAAAUGCAGCAUUUUGUCCUGGGUGCAAGAGAACUAUGACAAAUACUCCUUUUUCAUCAGUUUUCAAGCGUGAAAAUUUUAAACUUUGCCAAGGAAUUGCUUGGCGUUUUCGAUUUUGUGGAUUCAUAUCCAUAUACUUAUUUUUUAAAAGUUUUAAAAUAAUUAAUUUGUUGCUUUUCUGUGAUACUAAUAUUUGUUUACAUAUUUUUUAUUGAUCGCCAGACCGCCGCCAUAUUUUUUUACAUUUAUUACAGGUUUUUUACGUAUAUUACAUUUUUUACGUAAUAUACGUCAAAAACCUCGAGUGACGCGUCACUGUGCAACCCUGCUUCCGACCCGACAUAAUAGAGUUUCCGUACUCUGCAUUAUCAACUGAUCUUAAAUUAUAUUUUAUCUGCAGAUGGAAAGUUCUUCUUUAUCCACAUUACUAAUAUUCCAAGGACACUUUUUUUCAUCAUCAGGAAGGAAUUAAUUUCAAAAUUAAAAAGAAUUGGAAAUAGAAUUUUCAAAAAAUAUAUUAUUUUUUAUCUUUUUUGAUAAUCUGGAAAAUAUGGACUGUCUAUACGCAUACGAAGAUAGCUCUGGUGACUGAUUAUAUUUACUUCUGUAACGACCUACAUUCCAGAAUUAAAAUACGCUUUUGGAUUCGGGAUACAAUUUCUCGUUUCACGAUGAUGAAAGGAUUCAUGAACAUUGUUUUUAAUUCAGAUGGUCAAGAAACAAGAAAUUUUUUAGGAAAGUAGAAAUUUCAUAUAGUAAUUGAAUAUUUUAAAUCUAUUUUUUUCUUCUAAUUUGCAAAGAAAUUGAAAAUUUCACUCUAAAUUAUUCUAUUGUCAAUUUAAACUAUAUUUUUUUAAUAUAUUAUAAUUCAAAUUAUUUUUCAUGUUUUGUAAGGGAUAGUUUUAUUUAUGAUUUGAUUUCUUUCAGCAUUUCUAAUGACUUUGGAGAUUGCAAAAUAUUCAUGCCUUUUUGGAAGGAAAGAAAAAAAAGUCCUGCGUUCGACGAGAAUAGUGUGACUAACAACUAACAUCAAAUAAAGGGUCCAAGAAGUAGGUCAACAUUUAGAGGGAAGGGAAGAUCGCCCAACUAGUUCUGCAUUUGAUGAGAAGGAAUUGAGAAGGGAAAUUAAAAGUUUUGCCGAUGAUUUAAUUGACAAAAGGCGGAAGUCUUUUUUGGAAAUUUACCGCAUGAACCCUGAACUUUAAACAAGGAAAAUUUAUCAUAGCGUCAAGUGAUCAUCGUCGGGAACGUCAGAACUGGAAAAGCACGAGGCGGAUUUUGAAGGCGCGCAUACGGUGAAAGGAGAAAAUGAUACUUAUAUGUGUGAAUAAUGUGAGUAUAUAUACGUAUAUACACGUGUGGAA